rnacentral:rRNA from 1 species
AUUGAACGCUGGCGGCAGGCUUAACACAUGCAAGUCGAGCGGAGCGAGGGUGCUUGCACCUUAUCUUAGCGGCGGACGGGUGAGUAAUGCUUAGGAAUCUGCCUAUUAGUGGGGGACAACAUUCCGAAAGGAAUGCUAAUACCGCAUACGUCCUACGGGAGAAAGCAGGGGAUCUUCGGACCUUGCGCUAAUAGAUGAGCCUAAGUCGGAUUAGCUAGUUGGUGGGGUAAAGGCCUACCAAGGCGACGAUCUGUAGCGGGUCUGAGAGGAUGAUCCGCCACACUGGGACUGAGACACGGCCCAGACUCCUACGGGAGGCAGCAGUGGGGAAUAUUGGACAAUGGGGGGAACCCUGAUCCAGCCAUGCCGCGUGUGUGAAGAAGGCCUUAUGGUUGUAAAGCACUUUAAGCGAGGAGGAGGCUACUGAGACUAAUACUCUUGGAUAGUGGACGUUACUCGCAGAAUAAGCACCGGCUAACUCUGUGCCAGCAGCCGCCGUAAGAC